CCUCCACCUUGCACCCCACGCCACCCCACCCCCUCCUCAAAAGCUACAGACUCAGAAAUGGCACAUCCUAAGGAGAGCUCAUUGUGGGACUGGCUCUAGUGGGUGUAAUUCUGCACCCAGGCAGAAUUUUGUGAAAGAGACUUCUGAUACAGUAUCAAGGGACCACUAAGGCCUAUAAAAA